rnacentral:lncRNA from 1 species
GCUUUUAAUAGUAGAAGCUUCAAAGACUCAGGAAGGGCCAGGCAGCCAUCUGAGCCCUCUGGGAGGUACCUCAGCUUAGCCCUUGCACAGUCCCAAUAUGCACAGGCUCCCUGCUGCCCAAGGAUCUGCUUUCCACACAGCCAGGAGUGCCUUUCCCUACCACAGGCUCCCUGCAGCCCAAGGAUGUGCCUGAGACACAGCCGGGAGUGCCUCGCCCUCAAACAGGCUCGCUGCAGCCCAAACAUCUGCCUGAGACACAGCCAACACAGCAGGGAGUGCCUUGCCCGCAAACAGGCUCCCUGCAGCCCAAGGAUCUGCCUGAGACACAGCCCGGAGUACUUUUCCCAAGCACAGACUCUGUGCAACCCAAAGAGCUGCCUUCAACCCAGCCGGGAGUGCCUCCCCCUCACCUGCUCCUCCAGGUGCCGCCUCCCCCCAGCUAGGUGCUUGAGGCCUCCCUCCAGGAUGCUGCCGCUGCUGUCCCCACUGCUCAGGCACACGGCAGAACCCCCUUUGUCACUCCCCCCCUCAGAGCCCAACUUCUAAGGCACCAAACACCCAAGAUUAACAGGCUUUUGUUGCUGAACUGGACAUAUACAUUGAGUCUUUUCUUGCGGUCAAAGGAGUUGAAUUCUUGCUGAUCAACUAAAGUUGAUUGUGUUUGACACCAGGGAGCUUGUCUUUUGAG